UACGUAGGGUGCGAGCGUUGUCCGGAAUUAUUGGGCGUAAAGAGCUUGUAGGCGGUUUGUCGCGUCUGCUGUGAAAAUCCGGGGCUCAACCCCGGACUUGCAGUGGGUACGGGCAGACUAGAGUGUGGUAGGGGAGACUGGAAUUCCUGGUGUAGCGGUGAAAUGCGCAGAUAUCAGGAGGAACACCGGUGGCGAAGGCGGAUCUCUGGGCCUGUCCUGACGCUCAGGCGCGAAAGCGUGGGGAGCAAACAGG
rnacentral:rRNA from 1 species